rnacentral:rRNA from 1 species
GACGAACCGUGCGAACGUUGUUCGGAUUCACUGGGCUUAAAGGGCGCGUAGGCGGCUUGCCAAGUCAGGGGUGAAAUCUUUCGGCUCAACCGGAAAAGUGCUUCUGAUACUGGCGGGCUGGAGGGAGGUAGGGGCGGAUGGAACUUCCGGUGGAGCGGUGAAAUGCGUAGAUAUCGGAAGGAACGCCGGUGGCGAAAGCGAUCCGCUGGACCUCUUCUGACGCUGAGGCACGAAAGCUAGGGGAGCAAACAGG